rnacentral:rRNA from 1 species
GACGAACGCUGGCGGCGUGCUUAACACAUGCAAGUCGAACGGAAAGGCCCUGCUUUUGUGGGGUGCUCGAGUGGCGAACGGGUGAGUAACACGUGAGUAACCUGCCCUUGACUUUGGGAUAACUUCAGGAAACUGGGGCUAAUACCGGAUAGGAGCUCCUGCUGCAUGGUGGGGGUUGGAAAGUUUCGGCGGUUUGGGAUGGACUCGCGGCUUAUCAGCUUGUUGGUGGGGUAGUGGCUUACCAAGGCUUUGACGGGUAGCCGGCCUGAGAGGGUGACCGGCCACAUUGGGACUGAGAUACGGCCCAGACUCCUACGGGAGGCAGCAGUGGGGAAUAUUGCACAAUGGGCGGAAGCCUGAUGCAGCAACGCCGCGUGCGGGAUGACGGCCUUCGGGUUGUAAACCGCUUUCGCCUGUGACGAAGCGUGAGUGACGGUAAUGGGUAAAGAAGCACCGGCUAACUACGU